GGAGUUAGCCGGUGCUUCUUCUGUGAGUGAUGUCCUUCCUGCCGGCUAUUAACCCGCAGGCCUUCUUCCUCACUGAAAGUGCUUUACAACCCGAAGGCCUUCUUCACACACGCGGCAUGGCUGGAUCAGGGUUGCCCCCAUUGUCCAAUAUUCCCCACUGCUGCCUCCCGUAGGAGUCUGGGCCGUGUCUCAGUCCCAGUGUGGCUGAUCAUCCUCUCAGACCAGCUACGGAUCGUCGCCUUGGUGAGCCGUUACCUCACCAACCAGCUAAUCCGACAUAGGCUCAUCCGAUAGCGCGAGGCCCGAAGGUCCCCCGCUUUCCCCCGUAGGGCGUAUGCGGUAUUAGCCUGGGUUUCCCCAGGUUAUCCCCCACUACCGGGCAGAUUCCUAUGCAUUACUCACCCGUCCGCCGCUCGCCACCAGGGAGCAAGCUCCCCGUGCUGCCGCUCGACUUGCAUGUGUAGCNCGCCGCCAGCGUCAUCUGAGCGAGAUACAACUCUCGA
rnacentral:rRNA from 1 species